GGAGAGAUGGCUCAGCGGUUAAGAGCACUGACACUGCUCUUUCAGAGGUCCUGAGUUCAAUUCCCAGCAGCCACA
rnacentral:tRNA from 1 species